rnacentral:rRNA from 1 species
UACGGAGGGUGCAAGCGUUUGUCCGGAUUCAUUGGGUUUAAAGGGUGCGCAGGCGGGAGAUUAAGUCAGGGGUGAAAGACGGUUGCUCAACAAUCGCAGUGCCCUUGAUACUGGUUUUCUUGGGUGACCUUGGAGGUAGGCGGAAUGGGUGGUGUAGCGGUGAAAAUGCAUAGAUACCACCCAGAACUCCGAUUGCGAAGGCAGCCUACUGGAGGUUAACCGACGCUCAGGCACGAAAGCGUGGGGAUCAAACAGG